AUAUCAGUCAUGCAUAGCAUAUCAAUAAGCGGAGGAAAAGAAACUAACAAGGAUUCCCUUAGUAACGGCGAGUGAAGCGGGAAGAGCUCAAAUUUGAAAUCUUCAAGGUUUUACCUUGACGAAUUGUAGUUUAAAGAAGUGUUUUCUGUUGAAGUUUUGGUAAAAGUUCUUUGGAAUAGGACAUCAUAGAGGGUGAGAAUCCCGUAUUUGACCAUUACUUUCAGCUUUGUGAUACACUUUCAAAGAGUCGGAUUGUUUGGGAAUGCAGUCCAAAAUGGGUGGUAAAUUUCAUCUAAAGCUAAAUAUUGGCGAGAGACCGAUAGCGAACAAGUACCGUGAGGGAAAGAUGAAAAGAACUUUGAAAAGAGAGUUAAACAGUAUGUGAAAUUGUCAAAAGGGAAGCGUUUGACACCAGUAUUGUUUUCUCGAAAAUCAAUUAAAAAGAGUUGGAUUUUGUGUUGUAUUGACUUUAUCAGGCUUUCUUCACUCUUUUCCAGCUUUUUUUAAUGCACUUUUCGUUUAACAAGUCAACAUCAGUUUCUUUUGUUGUAAAAAGGUCAUUGGAAGGUGGCUUUCUCUUCGGAGAAAGUGUUUAUAGCCUUUGACUCAUGCAAUCGGAGAGACUGAGGUCUGCAGCGUAGAUCCUUCGGGGUUAGAUACAUUUGUGCUAAGUUAUAGCUUUUCAUAGACAACUUGUUGACUAUGUUUAGUCUUGUAGCUUACUCGCUUAUGCUAUUUUACCUACGCUUAGGAUGUUGAACUCUAUCACACACA
rnacentral:rRNA from 1 species